rnacentral:rRNA from 1 species
CGCGUAGGCGGUUGAAUAAGUGAGAUGUGAAAUCCCUGGGCUUAACCUAGGAACUGCAUCUUAUACUGUUUGACUGGAGUACUGUAGAGGGUAGUGGAAUUUCCGGUGUAGCGGUGAAAUGCGUAGAGAUCGGAAGGAACACCAGUGGCGAAGGCGGCUACCUGGACAGAUACUGACGCUGAGGCGCGAGAGCGUGGGGAGCAAACAGGAUUAGAUACCCUGGUAGUCCACGCUGUAAACGAUGAGAACUAGAUGUUGGUAGGCUUGACCUAUUAGUAUCGAAGCUAACGCGAUAAGUUCUCCGCCUGGGGAGUACGGCCGCAAGGUUAAA